CGCCACUGUGAUAGAUGAAUAUUAUUCAUUUUACGCAACAAACUCUAGCCUAUAAUUGCAUUCAUAUAUAAAGUCAAAAAUUACUGUAAAGUGUUAUUGUUCAAUUGAAAAGGGGGGUACCAUUUUUAACAAUUUGGAAUCUUAAUGAUAAAUCGACUCUCUCAACAGUACAUGUAUGUUGAAUUCAAUGAUCUAUUUCCAAACAGGUUCUCCGACGAUAUUGUUGCAGUUUCAUCGUCCAUUUUGAAUAUACUACAUAUACAUUAAACCACAUGACACUUCAUUAUAAGGUGUAAAUCUACAAGAUAGGCUGUACCAUAAGCAAAACAAAAUAAAGAAUUGGACAAACACGGACCCCUGGGUAUACCAGAGGUGGGAUGAGGUGCCUAGAAGAAGUAUGCGUCCCCUGUCGACCGUUUACACCCGACAUAAGCCCUAUAUCUUGAUCAGGUAAACGGAGUAAUCCGUAGUCAAAAUUAGUGUGGCAAGAACGGCAUAAUCAUCAAUAUGAAACACGUCAGACAGCUUUGACCCAAUGAUAGGUUGUAAUGGCAAACUAGAUCGUUAUAACGAUCAUAGAAUAACACACAAGCCAUUACAUGCUAAUUUCCAUAAUUUCCCUCCACUGACAGCAUUCACACGCAUACAAAUGAGACAUCUACAUCUACUUGCGUAUAUAGGGAAAUGAGCAUAUUGAAUUUCCUAGGGGUUCUCAUAAAGAAAA